GAUGAACGCUGGCGGCGUGCCUAAUACAUGCAAGUCGAGCGAACGGACGAUAAGCUUGCUUCUCUGAUGUUAGCGGCGGGCGUGUGAGUAACACGUGGAUAACCUACCUAUAAUACUGGGAUAACUUCGGGAAACCGGAUCUAAUACCGGAGAAUAUUUUGAACCGCAUGGUUCAAAGGUGAAAGACGGUGUUGCUGGCUCUUAUAGAGGCAUCCGCGCUGCAUGAGCUAGUUGUUAAGGUAACGGCUUACCAAGGCAACGAUGCAUAGACGACCUGAGAGGCUGAUAGGCCACACUGGAACUGAGACACGGUCCAGACUCCUACGGGAGGCAGCAGUAGGGAAUGUUACGCAAUGGGAGAAAGCCUGACGGAGCAACGCCGCGUGAGUGAUGACGGUCUUCGGAUCGUAAAACUCUGUUAUUAGGGAAGAACAUAUGUGUAAGUAAAUGUGCACAUCUUGACGGUACCUAAUCAGAAAGCAACGGCUAACUACGUG
rnacentral:rRNA from 1 species